UACGGAGGGUGCAAGCGUUAAUCGGAAUUACUGGGCGUAAAGCGUGCGCAGGCGGUUUGUUAAGUCCGUUGUGAAAGCCCCGAGCUCAACUUGGGAAUUGCAGUGGAUACUGGCAGGCUGGAGUACGGUAGGGGUAGAGGGAAUUCCCGGUGAAGCAGUGAAAUGCACAGAGAUCGGGAAGAACACCAGUGGCGAAGGCGCUCUACUAGGCCGUGACUGACACUGAGAGACGAUAGCUAGGGGAGCGAAUAGG
rnacentral:rRNA from 1 species